rnacentral:tRNA from 1 species
GCCCUCGUAGCUCAAUGGAUAGAGCAGAGGCCUUCUAAUCCUAAGGUUGCCGGUUCGAGUCCGGCCGAGGGCA